GAAUGCCAGUUUGAUAUGCGAUGAUGUGGCAACCUGCACUUGUUUAUGAGGCAUUUUACUAAUGGUCAUAGAAAUUUGAUGAAUUUCAAAUUGUACGGGUUCGUUGCAUUCUAGUCAGCCCAUUUUAUGCUCCCAGCCUUUUCUCGGCUCAUUUUAGAAAUGCAACAAGAUUACAAUCCACUAAGCACAAAUAAUAAUUCAUACAUCUAAUGUUCUCUCACACACACGAACCGAAUCAAUGACCACAAGUUCAGUUCACACGCAUGACAUUAGUUCAGACCAAUUAACAUAAGCAUAGGUUCAUGAACUUAUUAAGACUUACCAGCAAUACCACACUACACCUUAGUUCACCACACAAGACCAUACAAUGCUACAAAAACAACUUAGCAUAGGACAACACAUGACCAUACAUACAACGCUUGUUCUUGAAUUCCUCCAUCUCUUGUUGGGCCUUAAGCACAAUUUCUUGGGUCUUGACCAUUGAUUCUUCAAUUUCUUUAAUUUUAUUCUUCAAGGUGUCCACUUCAUGUUGAAGGUGAUCAUCACAUUGCAACUCGAUCACCUAGUGUC
rnacentral:lncRNA from 1 species